rnacentral:misc_RNA from 1 species
AAACAAACAUGGCCGCCUACAAGGCCAGAUUAAAAGCCUUUGAAGAUACGCUGAAUAAUGAAAGAAUAGACCUUAAAACUUUGAGGAAGUUAUGUUUCAACGGUUGUCCAUUUGAACAUGGAUACAGAUCUACCUGUUGGAAAAUUUUGUUGAACUACCUGCCAUUAGAUGUGUCACAAUGGAAAGAAAUUUUAGAAAAGCAAAGGAAAUUAUACACCCACUUUGUACACGAGAUGAUCGUGGAGCCCGGGACGAAAGCUUCUGCUGGGUCUCAGGCAGACGAUCACCCAUUGAAUCCCAACCCAGACAGUAACUGGGGGGCCUUCUUCAAAGACAAUGACAUGCUGCUACAGAUUGAUAAGGACUGUCGGCGACUGUGUCCAGACCUAUUCUUCUUCCAGAAGGCCACGGAGUACCCGUGUAAGGAGAUCAUUCACGCCGACUCGCGGGUGGAGACCCUCAGGAAGAGGGUGGAGCACUGCGUCCUUCACUCAGAGACACUCAAGGUGGAUAGGUUCGGCAAGUCCAAUAUGAUAGCGUCCAGGAGGAAGACUAGUGAAGAGUACUCCUUGUUACCGGACGGUCAGGAGGCGCACUGGGAGGUAGUGGAGCGGAUCCUGUUUAUCUACGCCAAACUCAACCCAGGCCAGGGAUACGUCCAGGUGAGUAUCGAAAGGAAUAUUGUGUAUGUCCAUGUAUGUAUUAAAAGGAAUAUUGUGUAUGUUCAUGUAUGUAUUAAAAGGAAUAUUGUGUAUGUUCAUGUAUGUAUUAAAAGGAAUAUUGUGUACAUCCAAAUAUGAAAAUUAGAAGCUAGAUCCGCUCCAUUUAUGUUUGCGUAAAUAGAAUGGAAAUAUUUCUGCAAAAUUCGAACAGAAAUACAUUAGCUCACAUAUGUACACGUACAAUUUAGUAGAUCAAUUACGCUAAAGUAUGCACAUGUCUUAUAUCUUAUAUUUAAUCUAGACAUUAGGUACAUGCAUUACAUGUCUCAGAGCUUACAGUCUAUAGCUCUUGAUUAUAACGCCCGCUCACGUAUUCCGUACUAAAAAUAUGCUUAUGUAGCGAAGACGAGAUGCAAGUUGAUUUAAGGAAUUGCCUUACCACGUUCUUGUAAUAAAUGUGAACUCAAAUCCCUCAUAUUUAAUUUAUUUUUUAGGGAAUGAAUGAAAUAUUAGGGCCUAUUUAUUAUACUUUCGCAUCCGAUCCGAGAAACGAAUGGAAAGAGUUUGCUGAAGCGGAUUCUUUUUUCUGCUUCACCAACUUAAUGGCAGAAAUACGAGACAUUUUUAUCAAGACGCUGGAUCUUGACGCAGUGUGUGGUAUAGGGAGUAUGAUGGCCAGCUUUACCUCUAAGCUGAAGGAGAAGGACGAGUUCCUGUACAACAGGAUCAAAGAGCUGGACCUGAAGCCCCAGUACUAUGCAUUCCGAUGGCUCACCCUACUUCUGUCUCAGGAAUUCCCUUUACCAGAUGUUUUGCGCAUUUGGGAUUCGUUGUUUGCAGACGAUAAAAGAUUUGAUUUUCUGAUAUGUAUAUGCUGUGCCAUGCUGAUGAUUCUCAGAGACGAAAUUAUUAGCGAAGAUUUUCCGACUGUGAUGAAGUUAGUGCAGAACUUCCAAACCUCCAAAGUAGACCUCCAGCGGGUUCUCUCCAAAGCGGUUGAUAUCAGAUAGCAUUCCCCCAACCUCCGAAAAUUUUCAUGUGCAAUACAAUCUCUUUGAUAUUUUGACUAAAGACUAAAAUGAUACAAAACAAUGACAUCAGGUGUAUGUGUGUGUUUUGUCCCUUGGGCUUUGGUUGUAACAAUGUCACUGACUCUAUGUUAAAAAUUGCCGACUCUGAACAACACAUCAGUACGCUAUAAUUGUGUAUUUUUGAUACCUUUCUGAUGGUGCCAGAUUGUGUUUUUUAUGAUUUGUUGUUUAUUAACAAUGAAAAAAUAUAUAUUUCUA